UACGGAAGGCAGCAGUGGGGAAUAUUGCACAAUGGGCGCAAGCCUGAUGCAGCCAUGCCGCGUGUAUGAAGAAGGCCUUCGGGUUGUAAAGUACUUUCAGUCGUGAGGAAGGUGUUAAGGUUAAUAACCUUAGCAAUUGACGUUAGCGACAGAAGAAGCACCGGCUAACUCCGUGCCAGCAGCCGCGGUAAUACGGAGGGUGCGAGCGUUAAUCGGAAUUACUGGGCGUAAAGGGCACGCAGGCGGUUAAUUAAGUUGGAUGUGAAAUCCCCGGGCUUAACCUGGGAAUGGCAUUCAAGACUGGUUAGCUAGAGUCCUGUAGAGGGGGUAGAAUUCCAUGUGUAGCGGUGAAAUGCGUAGAGAUGUGGAGGAAUACCGGUGGCGAAGGCGGCCCCGUGGACAAAGACUGACGCUCAUGUGCGAAAGCGUGGGGAGCAAACAGGAUUAGAUACC
rnacentral:rRNA from 1 species